CCGAGAGCUGAAGCUGGUGGCUCCCAGUGAGUUCCUCAACAGUCAGGACAACUCAUCAGCUGAGCCCCA
rnacentral:miRNA from 1 species